rfam:Aedes aegypti strain Liverpool supercont1.192 genomic scaffold, whole genome shotgun sequence.
UGUCCAGCAACCCCUAUCCCUACCUCCUCGUGGUACUGGCCGGGGAACGAGUAAUCUUAGGGAAGAUCUGGUAGUCAACCCCGGUGGGAACUCUGGUCGUAUGCUGACAGGAAAGG